AUGAACGCUGGCGGCGUGCCUAAUACCUUCAAGUCGAGCGAACAGACGAGGAGCUUUCUCCUCUGACGUUCUCGGCGGACGGGUUAUUAACACGUUGCUAACCUACCUAUAAGUCUGGGAUAACUUCGGGAAACCGGAGCUAAUACCGGAUAAUAUAUUUAACCGCUUGGUUCAAUAGUUAAAUACGGUUUUUCUGUCACUUAUAGAUUGAUCCUCGCCGCAUUAGCUAGUUGGUAAGGUAACGGCUUACCAAGGCAACGAUGCGUAGACGACCUGAGAGGGUGAUCGGACACACUGGAACGGAGACACGGAAAAGAGGACUACGGGAGGCAGCAGUAGGGAAUAUGCCGCAAAGGGGGAAAGGAUGACGGAGCAAAGCCGAGUGAGUGAAGAAGGACUUCGGAUCGUAAAACGAUGUUAGUAGGGAAGAAAAAAUGUGUAAGUAAAUAUGCACGUAUUGACGGUAACUAAUAAGAAAGCAACGGCUAACUACGUG
rnacentral:rRNA from 1 species